AAAUAGAGCAGAGCAUGAACAGAGUUA
rnacentral:piRNA from 1 species